rnacentral:tRNA from 1 species
AAGACUUUAAGUUAAGUAAACUAAAAACCUUCAAAGUUUUAAAUAGGUACGCCUAAGUCUUG